AUGCGAUGAGUCGAUAGGUAGUCUUCGGACUACUAUUGAGCAUAAGGAGGUCAUAACGCAGGAGCGGACCUUGAUGAGUUGUGUGAACCUGCUCAUCACAUGAAGAUGCCUCUUAGUCCCUGGUCUAGCGACUGGGGAUUUUU
rfam:Streptococcus sp. DORA_10 Q617_SPSC00358, whole genome shotgun sequence.